rnacentral:tRNA from 1 species
UGGUGUUCGCAUUCNNCUGGCUAGAGCGCCUGGUUCGGGACCAGGAGGUCGGUGGUUCGAAUCCACUCGCCCCGACCA